UAAUACGGAGGGUGCAAGCGUUAUCCGGAUUCACUGGGUUUAAAGGGUGCGUAGGAGGGCAGGUAAGUCAGUGGUGAAAUCCCCGAGCUUAACUUGGGAACUGCCGUUGAUACUAUCUGUCUUGAAUGUUGUGGAGGUAAGCGGAAUAUGUCAUGUAGCGGUGAAAUGCUUAGAUAUGACAUAGAACACCAAUUGCGAAGGCAGCUUGCUACACAAUUAUUGACUCUGAUGCACGAAAGCGUGGGGAUCAAACAGGAUUAGAUACCCUGGUAGUCCACGCCCUAAACGAUGGAUACUCGACAUCAGCGAUACACUGUUGGUGUCUGAGCGAAAGCAUUAAGUAUCCCACCUGGGAAGUACGACCGCAAGGUUG
rnacentral:rRNA from 1 species